UACGUAGGGGGCAAGCGUUGUCCGGAUUUAUUGGGCGUAAAGAGCGUGUAGGCGGUUCGGUAGGUCCGUUGUGAAAACUCGAGGCUCAACCUCGAGACGCCGAUGGAAACCCUCGAACUAGAGUCCGGAAGAGGAGAGUGGAAUUCCCAGUGUAGAGGUGAAAUUCGUAGAUAUUGGGAAGAACACCGGUGGCGAAGGCGGCUCUCUGGACCGUAACUGACGCUGAGGCGCGAAAGCGUGGGGAGCAACAGG
rnacentral:rRNA from 1 species